AACAGGAGAGUAUUGGUGGGAAGAAUUGACUGGCGUAGUGAUCCUUGACCUAGUUAUGGCAAAUUGGCAAUUAGGUAUUUUCCUGAAAGUCGACUGAAUGGAAUGCCAAUGCCGUGCCUUUGGUUCAUAUUCCUAAAACUAGUGCACCAGAUUCAGUAAAGGAUUUCAGGCCCAUUGCUUGGUGCAAUGUCUCUAACAAGUGUGUGAGAAAGAUUCUAGCGAACUAAGAAGCAGGGAUAUGGGAUACGGAUACAAUACAUUGCACCAGUAGAAGCGAACAAUCCAUUUGGAAAGUUCUCACCAGGUUUGAAUUGAUUUUUGCGUUUCAUUCUUGCCCAAAUAUAAGGCUUGGGCUUUACUUUUUCGCGGUAUCGGUCUUCAUUCGGAAAAGACAUUUGGGCCUUAUUCAUUCCAAACUACUCGCUAUUUGUCUCAAAAUUUGAUAUCCGGAAGUGGUAGUGUAUCUUGUUCUCUUCCUUGAAUGUGUUAGAUUGAGCAUAUUGGUUGCACUUGUUAACAGAUUAAAACUUCAGAAAUUAGCCUACACAAGUUUGGGGGUUGGUUCAACGUCUCCAUAUAAAGAAAAAGUAGGACUAACCUUUCCUACCUACUAGGUCUCUCAUCCUCUUUAUAGGUAGGAGGAGUCUUGUACAGAAUUACAUUGUUUGUUCUAGCAUUCACCAAGUUGAGUCCUAAAGAAAAAAAAAGUUGGACAAAAAGAAACAAAGUGACAGAUAAAUCAUGUUUUGUUAUGUUUUGUUAACUGGAGCACAUAUGCUUACAAGAGACCAGAACUUCCUGGAACAAAAGCUAUCUAAUUUCUAUUGUUUCUGUUGUAUUUCCUUUUUGUGCAGUUUGUUUAGAAUUUGGGUUAGGAUAAAUUGGACUUCUCUCUCCCUACUAGCAUAAGGUUGAAUCAUAGAGAACACAAUUGAAUGGGAAAAAGGAUAGGUAAAACAACAUAUAGGUGUUGGCUUUAUGAGUGGUUAAAACGGCUUUGUUUGGAGGCUAGAGCAAUAGUUAGGCAAGAAGAGUUGAAGUGUAGGAUUUUCCAGGGUCUGAUGAGUACCUGGCAACAUUGACAUAGGCUGGUUUUGUUGCCCUUGUGUUGUAGAGUUGAAUUGUAGAAAGAAGAAGCUUGGGGGUUGUAAUGCAGUUUUUUUGGGUUGGGAAUCAGACUUAAUUCUGGAGUUACUAGGCUUUACAAGAGCAUAAAGGUAAUAAGAAAAAAGAGUAGAGAAGAGUCAAGCAAGUUAUGUCUAUUUCAAAAGUGUCACACCUAUGGGUAAGGUCAUAGUCUUGCAGAGGCCUAAAACCUCUAGAUAGUUGUCUGGAUGAUCUCCCUCUAAAGAUCUUGCAGAAUGUGUAGACGUGGAGCUUAAAUCAAUAGCAAGAUGACUGUAGGAUGGCAGUGAUCUAAUUAACUUGGGAGCUUAAAUCAAUUGCAUUCUUUACUAUAGAUUUGCAUUCUUUACCUUAACCUGCCUGUAAGGAUAUCUAAUCAUAUGUUAGACGUCCUAGAAUAUUGAUUCUUGCCGAAAUACAAGGCUUGGGCUUUACUUUAAUAGCGGUAUAGCUGGGUGGGUGAUAAGAGUCCGGAGAUAGCAGGGGUUAGCACUAAAGAAGAACUCCCACUUUGCGGCAUAUAUUUUCUUUUGUGCCUGCUGAGUGAAAUGGGCAUUUUGUUUUUGAUAGACAUUCUUGGGCAUCAAUAGAUGCUAGAAGAUGCUGUGUUGUCUGAUCAUAGAUUAUGAAUAUAACAGAUUCAUCUUAUAGUGAUGAUGUUUUUCUUUCCAUAUUUUAUUGGUUUGGGACUGGACUUAAUAUUCUUUUAUGACGAAAAGUGUGGACUCGUUGAAGAGGCAAGCCCUUGGAAUUAAAGCGAAUCUUCUAAAGGGCCUUGAAGUUCUAUGGAAGACUCUUUUCUUGAUAUAGUUGUAAAUUUGUGGCAGACCAAAUACACUUACAAACGUAGGGAGAGAAAUGAGAAUCGCGACAUUCACUAUUUGUAAUUUCUAUUGACACUUAUGAUAAAAAUUGGCUCACUUGACUCAUAAAUAUCAUAUUUCAUCUCGCUUUACUCUAUAUCCACUUUACUCUUCACUAUGUACAAAUGACUGGAUUGCACAGGGUGUAGUUGAACCUACCCAUAUACACGUACAAUGCCUGCAUUACUCCUAACCUAUGUUCGUAACUCUCCAUCUGCAUACAAGAGCCCUAGGAGUACAUGAAUGCUUCCGCAAGAGUCUUUAGUUUCUACAUGUCUGAUUUUGUUUUGUAUUUUCCUUAUGCAUAGUGGAUCUUGAUGGUUCCCUCUCUAUUACCUUCCAUUCUAAUGCUCCGAUCUACUUUUCAGACUCGGUAACUUAUCGAUUCAUAUUUGUACUAGUUUGCAAUUCCCAAUAUUGGAUCACUACUCAAGGGCCUGUCUCAGACACCAGAACUCCUUUACAAAUCGCUAGCAGCUAAGCUUGUUGUUGGCAUGCCAUUCAAGGAUCUGGCUACUGUGGACUCGAUCUCAUUGAGAGAGCUUCCCCCAGCAGAUGACAGUGAUGCUUUAAGACACCUACUCACUUUUGCUAUUAUUUCAAUGAGAAAGGGAAAAAGAAAAGUUCCUAUUUUUAAGCUCUGCUUUGUACUUGAAACCAUUCUUCGCUUUUUUAUCUAAUUCAAUUUCAAGGUGUGGAAUUGACUUGACGUUAUUUUUUAUAUCAUGUUCAGUGGCUCUCCAUUGCUGAACCUUAAAACCUUUUGGUUCAGCCAAUAGUGCAGUACAAUUUAGCCAUGGUGAUUGCCGUAUAGCGAAACACAUAGUUAGGAACUGGGUUGAUUUCCUGAAUUUUACAAAUGAUUCAACUAGGAAUGAUAUUUUUGAAGGGAUUCAACUAGGAAUGAGAUAAUAGCAGUACCUACACUUAUCCUAUUUUCCUAAGUGCCGCGCUACAGUACUAGUUCGUACUUCGGAUUUUCAAUUUUUUCCCUCGAAAGGAGGUGGUCUGAUUUCCAUCAGUGAUCUGAUUAGGUUUUGUGGUACUUCUGUAGCAAAAGAGAAACAAAACCUUUGAUAUAUUGCCACCAUUGCUGAAACCAGAGCACUUUAAACCAUAAUCAAAAUCCACUAGGCUUUGGGACACAGAUAAGACAUAGGAGGGACACUAGCUAUUCUAUAUUUUGUCCCAUUUAGAGGUGUUUCAGUUACUUUUUUUGCUACUGCAAUAACACCAAAAGAAAUUGGUGCGAAAACUAUAAUAGCCGUCAAUCAUGCGUGAGGGUAUUAAUGUCUUAAAGAACUGUUUGUGAUGACGUGAAGGUUACUCCUACAUUUUUUGGCUAAUAGGAAUUAUGCUUCUAUGUUCGUUGUAGAGAGCCGGUGAUCUUCUAUUCGUCCCAUAUAUCUGCAACCAAUUGCAGGGUAAUGGGGAAACUAUACGUGUAGUUGGUAUUGUUAAGAACCUAUUAAGUUUUACAGUUUGUCCUUGUUUAGUCCACACAUGGAAAUCAAUAUUGGUAAAGCUUUGAUUCAUCGGCUACUAUUUUGAGUACAUAGGCUACCAUUCCAAUAUGCUAAAAGUAUUGAAUGUUUCUUAGGACCAGAGGGGUAACUUCAUGUAUUUUGUACCGGUGGUAAUGUGAUUUGAAGCACAAUUAGAUGCAUACAUUGUCCUCUACGUGCAUUAAAUGCCCUCUUUUAUUUCUGGUGCUACUAUCUUUCUACUGCUAUUGUUGUUCUCUGCUGGAACUAUUGCCUCCUAUUGUUAUGGUGUAUUGUUCUGGAGAUGCUGGCUUCUGAUGAUAUCAUAGUCGAUAUGUGGUCUGAUCUCAAUGAAGACUGAAUGUUUUAUGGUUGUGGCGAAGUUGCCACACAGACUAUCAUUUCUAAACUUCAGCUAUUUCCAUUUUAUGAUAUUGUCAAGUCUCCUAUUCCUGUCAAAUAAUUAUGUGAAGCUCUUCAUUGAAAAUCCACAUCUAUCCAAAUGGAUUCAUAUUGUUUGUUGUUAGUUUCUUUUGCUUAGUAUUGUUAUAAGUUUCUUUUUAACCCGGGACCUGGUUACAUAAUCUAACACUUA